AGUGAACGCUGGCGGCAGGCCUAACACAUGCAAGUCGAACGGCAGCACAGUAAGAGCUUGCUCUUACGGGUGGCGAGUGGCGGACGGGGGAGGAAUACACCGGAAUCUACUCUUUCGUGGGGGAUAACGCAGGGAAACUUACGCUAAUACCGCAUACGACCUACGGGUGAAAGCAGGGGAUCUUCGGACCUUGCGCGAUUGAAUGAGCCGAUGUCGGAUGAGCUCGUUGGCGGGGUAAAGGCGCACCAAGGCGACGAUCGGUAGCUGGUCUGAGAGGAUCGUCACACAGCCGGGAACUGAGACAGGGCCCAGACUCCUACGGUGGGCAGCGGUGGGGAAUAUUGCGCAAUGGACGCGAGCCUGAUCCAGCCAUACCGCGUGAGUGAUGAAGGAGUUCGGGUGGUAAAGCCCUGUUGUUGGGAGAGAAAAACAGCAGGUUAAUACCCCGCGGUACUGACGGUACCCAAAGAAUAAGCACCGGCUAACUUCGUG
rnacentral:rRNA from 1 species